UACCUGGUUGAUCCUAACAAUAGUCAUAUGCUUGUCUCAAACAUUAAGCCAUGCAUGUCUAAAUAUGAACUAAUUCAGACUGUGAAACUACGGAUGCGCUCAUUAAAUCAGUUAUAGUUUCUUUGAUUGUACCCUACUACUCGGAUAACCAUAGUAAUUAUAGAAAUAAUACAUGCACCAAGUCUCAACUCUUUGGAAGGGAUGCAUUUAUUAUAUAAAAGGCCG
rnacentral:ncRNA from 1 species